rnacentral:rRNA from 1 species
AUUGAACGCCGGCGGCAGGCCUAACACAUGCAAGUCGAGCGGAUGAAGGGAGCUUGCUCCUGGAUUCAGCGGCGGACGGGUGAGUAAUGCCUAGGAAUCUGCCUGGUAGUGGGGGAUAACGUCCGGAAACGGGCGCUAAUACCGCAUACGUCCUGAGGGAGAAAGUGGGGGAUCUUCGGACCUCACGCUAUCAGAUGAGCCUAGGUCGGAUUAGCUAGUUGGUGGGGUAAGGGCCUACCAAGGCGACGAUCCGUAACUGGUCUGAGAGGAUGAUCAGUCACACUGGAACUGAGACACGGUCCAGACUCCUACGGGAGGCAGCAGUGGGGAAUAUUGGACAAUGGGCGAAAGCCUGAUCCAGCCAUGCCGCGUGUGUGAAGAAGGUCUUCGGAUUGUAAAGCACUUUAAGUUGGGAGGAAGGGCAGUAAGUUAAUACCUUGCUGUUUUGACGUUACCAACAGAAUAAGCACCGGCUAACUUCGUG